UACAGAGGGGGCAAGCGUUGUUCGGAAUUACUGGGCGUAAAGGGCGCGUAGGCGGCCUGCUAAGUCGAACGUGAAAUCCCUGGGCUCAACCCAGGAACUGCGUCCGAUACUGGUUGGCUUGAAUCCGGGAGAGGGAUGCGGAAUUCCAGGUGUAGCGGUGAAAUGCGUAGAUAUCUGGAGGAACACCGGUGGCGAAGGCGGCAUCCUGGACCGGUAUUGACGCUGAGGCGCGAAAGCCAGGGGAGCAAACGGG
rnacentral:rRNA from 1 species